rnacentral:rRNA from 1 species
CCCAGCUCAUCAUGCUAGAUCACUUUUUCAAUGUGCACCCCAAGGAGAAGGAGACGACGCAUUCGUAUGUCAAUCCAUAUCAACUUUCGAUGCCAUUGACUGCGCCUACCAUGGUGACCACGGGUAAUAGGGAAUCAGGGUUCCAUUCCAUACAGGGACCCUGACAAACGGCUACCACAAGCAAGGAAGGCAGCAGGCGCGCAAAUGACCCACUCCCGACGCGGGAAGGUACUGACG